rnacentral:rRNA from 1 species
AUUGAACGCUGGCGGAAUGCUUUACACAUGCAAGUCGAACGGCAGCACGGACUUCGGUCUGGUGGCGAGUGGCGAACGGGUGAGUAAUAUAUCGGAACGUGCCCAGUCGUGGGGGAUAACGUAGCGAAAGCUACGCUAAUACCGCAUACGAUCUACGGACGAAAGCGGGGGAUCGCAAGACCUCGCGCGAUUGGAGCGGCCGAUAUCAGAUUAGGUAGUUGGUGAGGUAAAGGCUCACCAAGCCGACGAUCUGUAGCUGGUCUGAGAGGACGACCAGCCACACUGGGACUGAGACACGGCCCAGACUCCUACGGGAGGCAGCAGUGGGGAAUUUUGGACAAUGGACGCAAGUCUGAUCCAGCCAUUCCGCGUGCAGGACGAAGGCCUUCGGGUUGUAAACUGCUUUUGUACAGAACGAAAAGGUCUCUAUUAAUACUAGGGGCUCAUGACGGUACUGUAAGAAUAAGCACCGGCUAACUACGUGCCAGCCGCCGCUGUAAUAC